rnacentral:tRNA from 1 species
UCCCUGGUGGCUCAGAGGGUAAAGCGUCUGCCUGCAAUGCAGGAGACCUGGGUUUGAUCUCUGGGUCAGGAAG